rnacentral:rRNA from 1 species
AGAGUUUGAUCCUGGCUCAGAAUCAACGCUGGCGGCGUGCCUAACACAUGCAAGUCGAACGCGAAAGUCCCGCAAGGGGCAAGUAGAGUGGCGCACGGGUGAGUAACACGUGGAUAACCUGCCUUCGAGUGAGGAAUAACCUUCCGAAAGGAGGGCUAAUACCGCAUAACACCUUGGGACAAAAGUUUCGAGGUUAAAAGGAGCAAUUCGCUGGAAGAGGGGUCCGCGCCUGAUUAGCUAGUUGGUGAGGUAACGGCUCACCAAGGCUGUGAUCAGUAGCCGUCCUGAGAGGGAGCACGGCCACACUGGAACUGAGACACGGUCCAGACUCCUACGGGAGGCAGCAGUGGGGAAUAUUGGACAAUGGGGGCAACCCUGAUCCAGCAACGCCGCGUGGGGGAUGAAGGUCUUCGGAUUGUAAACCCCUGUUGGGAGGGACGAAGGCUUUCGGGCGAACAGUCCGGAAGCUUGACGGUACCUCAAGAGGAAGCCCCGGCUAACUCUGUGCCAGCAGCCGCGGUAAUACAGAGGGGGCAAGCGUUAUUCGGAAUUAUUGGGCGUAAAGGGCGCGUAGGCGGCUAAGUAAGUCUCGGGUGAAAUCCCUCGGCUCAACCGAGGAACUGCCUUGGAAACUGCUUGGCUUGAGGCCGGGAGAGGAUGGUGGAAUUCCCAGUGUAGCGGUGAAAUGCGUAGAUAUUGG